UCCAGCAUAGCUUGGUUGGUAGACUAUUAGACUUUUAAUCUGAGAGUCUAGUGUUUAAAUCCCUGUUUGGGCA